UGUGAAGACAGAGGGCACAGAAGGUGU
rnacentral:piRNA from 1 species